AAUUCGGUGGCAAAUGAGUCAACCAAUUGUGCCUAUGUAAUGAAAACUCUGGACGCCAAAAUUUGGUGGAGCUUCCUGGUUGGUGAACACAUCCAUGUGCCAGGAGGGUGACACAACCUGAUUCACAGAGAGAAGACACAGAAGCUCUGCAUGGAAGACCCGCCCAGACCCCGCCCUACGUGUGUCUUCAUUAGUCUGGUCCUCCUGAUUUGUAUCCUUUGUAACAAGCCUGUAAUCCCAGGAGAAAGGACUUUGUGCUCCUUCACCUCAGAAACCUGAACUCAGAAUUUCCUUGUAGACACUUUUCAGGCCUUUGUUUGCUGGAGACUGGAGUUCCCUGAGAGGAUUAAGGGUGUGGUGGGGAGUGUCUAAAGGAGCCCAGUGCCUUGAGGGCAGCCAAGAAGACAGAGGCCCUGGACUGGAUACCGGCUGAGGUAGGUGGAUCCCUGUGGGGUGGAGACCAUCCCCAGCUCCACAGCCCCAGGCAUGUCAAGGGCUAUCAUCAAGGCCUCAGAGGAGACCAGCUGCCUGGGGCACCUCAGGAAGCUAUACCCUGACACCUGGACUCCAGAGUCCACAAAUAUAUCUGUACCCAAACCAGUGGGCAAGCAAAGAAGCCCUUGCCUUUGGGAGACCUCAGGAUGUUGGCCAUGAGAACAUCAUGGAUGGGCGCGGUGGCUCGCUCCUGUAAUCCCAGCACUUUGGGAGGCCAAGGCGGGUGGAUCACCUGAGGUUAGGAGUUCGAGACCAGCCUGGCCAACAUGGUAAAACCCUGUCUCUACUAAAAAUACAGAAAUUAGCCAGGCACAGUGGCAGGUGCCUGUAAUCCCAGCUACUCGGGCGGCUGAGGCAGGAGAAUCGCUUGAACCUGGGAGGCAGAGGUUGCAGUGAGCCAAGAUCAUAUCACUGUGCUCCAGCUUGGGCAACAAGACAGAAACUCCAUCUCAAAAAAAAAAAAAAGAAAAGAAAUCAUGGACUCCAAAAGGCCUGAAGUGGAGAGUCCUGAAGCCAUCUCAGACCAUGAGGCCACCCUAAGGGUAGAAGGAAGCACACUAAGAUGACAGGAACAGAAGACAGGAGCCUGGGUCCAUCAUGCCAGGGAGCCUCCACACCUGCCCUGGACGUUUCAUCUCAGACCUCGUGGAUAAAGCAGAGAAAUAAAUAUCUACCUUGUUUAAGCCACUUAUUUUCAAUUUUUUGUUUCAAGCAGGCUUUUCAUGAAGUUCCCAGUCUGACAGCAUUAAUUGGUGGGCUAGAAUUUGUGGACGGUUUCCAUGUAUGUAUUCUGCAAAACCAUCCAUAAGAAAGAGUUGAACAAGUCUUGGGACUAGCUAGAGAAGUGGGCAAAAAAAGAGAGGAAGUGGCCGAGUGCGGUGGCUCACGCCUGUAAUCCCAGCACUUUGGGAUGCUCAGGCAGGCAGAUCACGAGAUCAAGAGAUUGAGACCAUCCUGGCCAACAUGGUGAAACCCCGUCUCUACUGAAAAUACAAAAAUUAGCUGGGCGUGAUGCCAUGCGCCUGUAGUCCGAGCUACUCGGGAGGCGGAGGCAGGAGAAUCACUUGAACCCUGGAGGCAGAGGUUGCAGUGUGUCAAGAUCAUGCCACCGCUCUCCAGCCUAGUAACAGAGUGAGAAUUCCGUCUCAAAAAAAAAAAAAAAAAAAAAGAGAGAGAGGAAGUAGCCUCUCCACUGCCCCUGCCAUGCCUAGAAGGUUCCCCAGCAUAAGAAGAGAUCAUUUGCAUCUCAAACAGCACAAUAGGCAGCCUGCUGGGUGGCCGGGGAAACUGUCCAAGACAGGACCGUACCAGAGGCCUUUUCUUGUCCUUUGAAUAUUUCAACUUCUGUGCAGGAAGGCUUGGGCUUUCCCAGGACAAAAUAAUUUUUAACAUUUUAUUUGUCUUAUUAAAUAUUAAAUAAAUAUAUUUGUAAAAGAUA
ensembl:lncRNA LINC02570 long intergenic non-protein coding RNA 2570